UAGAAAAAUUCAGGACAAAACAAAAAUUGUUCGCAAUAAAAAGUGCAAACAGUGAAUAAUUGUAAAUAUUUAGAAGCACUCUAUCUUCGCGAUGCAGGAUUUUCCAAUAUUUAUCUUUUUCCUCUUAACUUUGUCUAAAAAUUAUAGGAAAAUUUUAUUUGAUUAAAGUACAACCUAUACGCUUACUGCAGAGAAAAGCAAUAUUCGAAAAUCUCAACGUACAUUUUACACGAAGCAUUCGCGGCAAUAAUUUACUGACUAUAAAUGGUAAAAAAUAUACAUUGAAUCGCCGCAUCAAAGAUGCCUCCUAUUGGGAAUGCGUCAAAGUCCGCUAAUGUCACGCUGCAAUAUUACUGAAAACUGGAGCCUGGUUGGAGCAUAGUCUUACAUUCGUACCCAAUCGUCGUGGAGGCUUAAAUCUUAUU